rnacentral:rRNA from 1 species
UACGUAGGGUGCAAGCGUUGUCCGGAUUUAUUGGGCGUAAAGAGCUCGUAGGCGGUUUAGAAAGUCGGGUGUGAAACCUCCAGGCUCAACCUGGAGACGCCACUCGAUACUUCUAUGACUUGAGUUCGGUAGGGGUAAGCGGAAUUCCUGGUGUAGCGGUGAAAUGCGCAGAUAUCAGGAGGAACACCAAUGGCGAAGGCAGCACUCUGGGACGUGACUGACGCUGAGACGCGAAAGCGUGGGGAGCAAACAGG